rnacentral:rRNA from 1 species
GACGAACGCUGGCGGCGUGCCUAAUACAUGCAAGUAGAACGCUGAAGGAGGAGCUUGCUUCUCUGGAUGAGUUGCGAACGGGUGAGUAACGCGUAGGUAACCUGCCUGGUAGCGGGGGAUAACUAUUGGAAACGAUAGCUAAUACCGCAUAAUAGUAGAUGUUGCAUGACAUUUGCUUAAAAGGUGCAAUUGCAUCACUACCAGAUGGACCUGCGUUGUAUUAGCUAGUUGGUGGGGUAACGGCUCACCAAGGCGACGAUACAUAGCCGACCUGAGAGGGUGAUCGGCCACACUGGGACUGAGACACGGCCCAGACUCCUAAGGGAGGCAGCAGUAGGGAAUCUUCGGCAAUGGACGGAAGUCUGACCGAGCAACGCCGCGUGAGUGAAGAAGGUUUUCGGAUCGUAAAGCUCUGUUGUAAGAGAAGAACGAGUGUGAGAGUGGAAAGUUCACACUGUGACGGUAUCUUACCAGAAAGGGACGGCUAACUACGUG